UCUUUACAAGAGCCUGAUUCAUUAGACCGAGAGGUCCUCAUCAAGGUACGAGGGCUACCUCUUUACAAGAGCCUGAUUCAUUAGACCGAGAGGUCCUCAUCAAGGUACGAGGGCUACCUCUUUACAAGAGCCUGAUUCAUUAGACCGAGAGGUCCUCAUCAAGGUACGAGGGCUACCUCUUUACAAGAGCCUGAUUCAUUAGACCGAGAGGUCCUCAUCAAGGUACGAGGGCUACCUCUUUACAAGAGCCUGAUUCAUUAGACCGAGAGGUCCUCAUCAAGGUACGAGGGCUACCUCUUUACAAGAGCCUGAUUCAUUAGACCGAGAGGUCCUCAUCAAGGUACGAGGGCUACCUCUUUACAAGAGCCUGAUUCAUUAGACCGAGAGGUCCUCAUCAAGGUACGAGGGCUACCUCUUUACAAGAGCCUGAUUCAUUAGACCGAGAGGUCCUCAUCAAGGUACGAGGGCUACCUCUCUACAAGAGCCUGAUUCAUUAGACCGAGAGGUCCUCAUCAAGGUACGAGGGCUACCUCUUUACAAGAGCCUGAUUCAUUAGACCGAGAGGUCCUCAUCAAGGU